rnacentral:rRNA from 1 species
CCUACGGGUGGCAGCAGUGAGGAAUAUUGGUCAAUGGGCGAGAGCCUGAACCAGCCAAGUCGCGUGAGGGAGUACUGCCCUAUGGGUUGUAAACCUCUUUUGUCGGGGAGCAAAAGCCGGACGUGUCCGGCUGUGAGAGUACCCGAAGAAAAGCAUCUGCUACCUCCGUGCCAGCAGCCGCGGUAAUCCAGAGGAUGCGAGCGUUAUCCGGAUUUGUUAGGUUUAAAGGCUGCGAAGUCGGUUUGUUAAGUCAGCGGGCAAAUCGUGGGGCUCAACCCCAUACAGCCGGUGAAACUGGGGAUCUAGAGUGUGCGAGAGGUAUGCGGAAUGCGUGGUGUAGCGGUGAAAUGCAUAGAUAUCACGCAGAACCCCGAUUGCGAAGGCAGCAUACCGGUGCACAACUGACGCUCAGGCACGAAAGCGUGGGUAUCGAACAGGAUUAGAUACCCUUGUAGUC